ACGGUAACAGGAAACAGCUUGCUGUUUCGCUGACGAGUGGCGGACGGGUGAGUAAUGUCUGGGAAACUGCCUGAUGGAGGGGGAUAACUACUGGAAACGGUAGCUAAUACCGCAUAACGUCGCAAGACCAAAGAGGGGGACCUUCGGGCCUCUUGCCAUCGGAUGUGCCCAGAUGGGAUUAGCUAGUAGGUGGGGUAACGGCUCACCUAGGCGACGAUCCCUAGCUGGUCUGAGAGGAUGACCAGCCACACUGGAACUGAGACACGGUCCAGACUCCUACGGGAGGCAGCAGUGGGGAAUAUUGCACAAUGGGCGCAAGCCUGAUGCAGCCAUGCCGCGUGUAUGAAGAAGGCCUUCGGGUUGUAAAGUACUUUCAGCGGGGAGGAAGGGAGUAAAGUUAAUACCUUUGCUCAUUGACGUUACCCGCAGAAGAAGCACCGGCUAACUCCGUGCCAGCAGCCGCGGUAAUACGGAGGGUGCAAGCGUUAAUCGGAAUUACUGGGCGUAAAGCGCACGCAGGCGGUUUGUUAAGUCAGAUGUGAAAUCCCCGGGCUCAACCUGGGAACUGCAUCUGAUACUGGCAAGCUUGAGUCUCGUAGAGGGGGGUAGAAUUCCAGGUGUAGCGGUGAAAUGCGUAGAGAUCUGGAGGAAUACCGGUGGCGAAGGCG
rnacentral:rRNA from 1 species